rnacentral:rRNA from 1 species
AUCACCCAUUCGCCUGUUUACAAAAACAUAACCUUUAGUCGAAAAACCAAUAUUAAAGGCAACGCUGCUGACCCAGUGAGCAAUUCUAACGGCCGCGGUACCCUAACCGUGCAAAGGUAGCACAAUCACUUGUCUAUUAAUUGUAGACCUGUAUGAAAGGCAAAACGAGGGCCUAUCUGUCUCUUGUAGUAAGUCAAUUAAACUGAUCCCCCAGUCCAAAAGCUGGGAUACCAACAUAAGACCAGAAGACCCUGUGAAGCUUAAACUAAACUAUUAAAUCUCAUAAUAGCUCCUUUCGGUUGGGGCGACCUUGGAAAAAAAAAGAACUUCCAAACACACUGACUUUACAGUCACCCACCCAGGCCAACAAGCCUAACAACGACCCAGCACAGCUGACAACUGAACCAAGUUACUCCAGGGAUAACAGCGCUAUCUUCUUCAAGAGCCCAUAUCAAAAAGAAGGUUUACGACCUCGAUGUUGGAUCAGGACAUCCUAAUGGUGCCAGCCGGUAUGAAGGGUCUCGUUUGUCUCAUAACGAUUAACAGUCCCACGUGAUCUGAUUUCAGACCGGUGUUCAACGAUUAAAACCCUACGUGAUCUGAGUUCAGA